GACAGGAUCUGCUAUGUAAUCCAGGCUGGCCUUGAACUUGUAGCAUUCCUCCUGCCUGACCUCCUAAGUAUUGAGACUAUAGGGUCUUCUUAUGCAGUUCAGGCUGAUCUUGAGAUGACUUUGUAGCCCAGGCUACUCUUGAACUUGCAAUAAUCCUCUUACCUCAGCCUCCUGAGUGCUGGAAUUACAAGCGUGUGCCUCAACACCUGGCUUCACUAAGUAUUAUGGGUUUGUUUGUUUUUAAAUUUGAAGUACCAAGGAUUGAACUCACAACCUUGCACUUAUCAGAUGGAGUUCACCCAAAAGUCAGCUGGAUGGAAUUCUUUAUGUAGGUCAGUCUGGCUUCAAGCUCUUGAUUCUCCUGCCUCAGUCUCCUAAGUGCAGUGAUUUCAGGUGUCUGCCAUCAUAUCCACCUUUAAGUGUCGUAACAUCUUAGGAAAGGGUCUGUGUUUAAGAGACAGAGCAAUCUAAGAGUGUUAACAAUUGGUAUGUAUUCAGGUGUUCAUCAUAUUGUUCUUCUUUUACAUAAAUUUCAAAAUUUUCAAAAUGAAAAUGGGAUGGGAAUAAAAUGCAGAGUAGAAUAAAAUACGAAUCUGUUUUAUUCCAAGAUAUUGUAGUUGUAGUCUAAGAUUGACUUUAUAAAACAUGACACUACAAA